rnacentral:tRNA from 1 species
GGAAAUGUGCCUGAACAAAAGGGUAACUUUGAUAGAGUUAAAAAUAGAGAUUAGACCCUCUCAUUUCCU